rnacentral:tRNA from 1 species
GAGCUUGCAAAAGAAAUCGCAGAUAUAGUUGGAGUUCAAUUAGGGAAAUGUUCUGUCACAAGAUUUAGUGACGGGGA